UACGUAGGGUGCAAGCGUUGUCCGGAUUUAUUGGGCGUAAAGAGCGUGUAGGCGGUCUGGUAGGUCCGUUGUGAAAACUCGAGGCUCAACCUCGAGACGCCGGUGGAAACCAUCAGACUAGAGUCCGGAAGAGGAGAGUGGAAUUCCUGGUGUAGCGGUGAAAUGCGCAGAUAUCAGGAAGAACACCCGUGGCUAAGGCGGCUCUCUAGUACGGUACUGACGCUGAGACGCGAAAGCGUGGGGAGCGAACAGG
rnacentral:rRNA from 1 species